UACGGGGGGAGCAAGCGUUGUUCGGAUUUACUGGGCGUAAAGGGCGCGUAGGCGGUCAGCACAAGUCAGUUGUGAAAUCUCCGGGCUUAACCCGGAAAGGUCAACUGAUACUGUGCGACUAGAGUGCGGAAGGGGCAACUGGAAUUCUCGGUGUAGCGGUGGAAUGCGCAGAUAUCAGGAGGAACACCAACGGCGAAGGCAGCUCGCUAGGACGGUACUGACGCUAAGGCGCGAAAGCGUGGGGAGCGAACAGG
rnacentral:rRNA from 1 species